CCCUAGAUCUCGAGAGCUCCAUUUGCAAUGGCUUACUCGGCCGACUCCUCUCCUUGUUCUUUAUUGGUAGAUCUGGAAGUUCUCGUCGUCCCAGAUACGCCGGAACAUCUGUGGUCAUCUGACUCCGCCAUCGGAGAAUCUGUCGUCGUCGGGACCCUAACCGACACCGUUGUUCCCGAAACCCAAUUUGAUUCAUCCAUUCCCGAGUAUGUUGACUGUGGUUGUGGUUGCCCCUACUACGGUCCACCAACACGAGCCACCCCCUCCGACUUUCCACCAGCCUCCCCCAUCGAUCCAGCUCAAGCCACCCCCAACCGUGUGUAUUCUAACGUUGAGAGGCAGAUGUUUGCUAUUCUUCUGCCCAAGUUUUUAGAUCUUAUCUAAGUACUCCACUCUGGAUCUGUUUUUUGGCCUCUGACCAGAUCUUAUAGACUGUCUUCCGGCUCACUCCAAACUCCUUUUCUGCCUUCUGAAAAGCUCCAUAUGGCACAUUACCUAAAUGGCUCGAUUGUAGCAGACUUUGAGCUAUCAAAUUUUUUGUGGUCACUGGUAUGACGUGUGACUCUCUGUUUCUGUCUCUGUUUCUGGCAAUAUCUUCGGCGAUGUCUCCGGCAGCAGGCUCCAUAGCCCAGUGAUGAAAAUUUUCUGAGGGCAAAUGAUCAAAAACUCUCCUUUAGUUGUAUAGGUAGUCCUUUUAUAGAUGGUGGUAGUUGGAGUUUCCCUUCUAAUUUGUUGUGCUCCCUCCUAAAAUUUGGUGGUCACUGGUAUGACGUGUGACUCUCUGUUACAGAUGUUGUACUCCCUCCUAAAAUUUGUUGUAAGUUUAAUGGGAUUUGGGAUUUCCCUCCAAAAAACUGCAAUUUGUAAUGUGAUGGAAGUUUUAU